rnacentral:lncRNA from 1 species
AUUCUCACUCUUUUUUGUGCUUACAGUUCCAUAAAAAUACAAUCUUCUCUUUACGUAGAGACUUGUCAAAGCUAUUUACAGUUUGAAAAUACUUGUCUGAAUGUUCUGGCAAUGUGCUUUAAUUCCCUUUCUCACAAUAACAUCUUUAUUUCCUCCUCUCUCUCUUUGUUUAUUCUAUUGUCAGUAAAAAAAAAAAAGGAGCCCUCCAACACUGACAUGUCAUAUUUGGAAAACAAUCAUUUUUAAGAUUGUGGCUGUUCACAUUUAUUUUUUAAAUGUGAUAUUUUGUAUAAUGACAACAGCAACAAUAAUGAAAAGGAAACAAUAAAAUAACCAGUAAAUGGCAAUACAAAUGAAGUGUGUUUAACUGACCUCGCACCAACCAGAUGGUCUCCUGGUUGAAGUAUUGCAAUUGAGACGGCCAGACGUGGCCUCUGUUUGUCUCCUUGGUCAGACCCAGGCCUAUCUCCUACAGGCAGUGGUCUCAUAUGACAGAACACUGGGAAACACUGCUGAUAAGGCAUGCAAACCCUGUGGGUCAACUGCAAUGAACAUCAACAGAUUAUUUUAUAUUUGGCUUCAGAUCAUGUCCAAAUGUAUUUAUUUCCCUCUAGUUUAUCUUCUGCAACAAGGAUGGGAUUGGUGAAACUACUAUUGAAUUUUAGUGACAUUUGAUUGCAAGUUUUACUUGUAGGUUAACUGCAGAUUAAAAUGGAGUUAGCUAUAUCAGACAGAGAUCAGUAUCUUCUGUGGAUGUUCAUGUCAUUUGACUCAGUAUGCAUUUACAGGAUAUCUCCCCAUAAUUAGGAAAGCGUAUCAAAUACAUGUGUUUGAAAGCUAGUCUGUCUGUACAAUGAGUAUGAAAAGGUAAUCAUUUGGGUUUGGCAAUGUGAGUUGAUUGAUCAUCUACACUAGGAUCUCAAUCAUACACCUUGGUGAGAAAUGGAGCUGUGAUGCUGGUUGUCAAUCUAAACAAUGUAUGCAGUCAAAAUAUAACUACAGUCUUGAGAAGAAGUGAACAUGAAUAUAACUUGAAGUGGAGGUUUUAUUUCCCUCCAAAUUCACUGAUUGUCACUAAGGAAAAACAAAAUUCCUUCAUCUAAAAUCAGUGGUUAAGAUCAGCAGAUGACCCUCAACCCUUGCUGACCCAAGCACUUCUCUGAGACAGGACAGAGACAGUAACCUGAUGAGAAACGAGCAAAUGAAGCAAAGAAUAUACAAAGCAACAGCAUGUCUUAAAAUCAGGAUAUGAUCCCAUUCGUGUAACAGCAAUAUUGAUUAAUAAUGUGAAACUAAUACUGUGCAAAAUUUUGAAAAUUGGAAGUAGGUCUACAAAAAGGAGACAUUUUCU